GACGAACGCUGGCGGCGUGCUUAACACAUGCAAGUCGAGCGGUAAGGCCCUUCGGGGUACGACGAGCGGCGAACGGGUGAGUAACACGUGGGUGACCUGCCUCUAGCUCUGGGAUAAGCCUGGGAAACUGGGUCUAAUACCGGAUAUGACUCCACGGCGCAUGUUGUGGGGUGGAAAGCCUUGUGUGGCUAGAGAUGGGCCCGCGGCCUAUCAGCUUGUUGGUGGGGUGAGGCCUACCAAGGCGACGACGGGUAGCCGGCCUCGAGAGGGCGACCGGCCACACUGGGACUGAGACACGGCCCAGACUCCUACGGGAGGCAGCAGUGGGGAAUCUUGCGCAAUGGGCGAAAGCCUGACGCAGCGACGCCGCGUGAGGGAUGACGGCCU
rnacentral:rRNA from 1 species